AUGGUGUUCAUAACUCAGUUCUUUGUACUGUUGCUUUUCUGGAUUUCAGCUUCCAGAGGAGACAUCGUGCUGACUCAGUCUCCAGCCACCCUGUCUGUGACUCCAGGAGAGAGAGUCAGUCUUUCCUGCCGGGCCAGCCAGAGUAUUAGCACAAGCAUACACUGGUAUCAACAAAAACCAAAUGAGUCUCCAAGGCUUCUCAUCAAAUAUGCUUCCCAGUCCGUCUCUGGAAUCCCCUCCAGGUUCAGUGGCAGUGGAUCUGGGACAGAUUUCACUCUCAGUAUCAAUGGAGUAGAGCUUGAAGAUUUAUCAAUUUAUUACUGUCAACAGAGUAGCAGCUGGCCACACACAGUGAUGCAGACCAUAGCAAAAAUCACCAGGAAAGCAGAAGUGUGA